rnacentral:piRNA from 1 species
CCUCACCAUUUAUGACGAAGAUGUGUUGG